rnacentral:lncRNA from 1 species
UGCCGGUCUCGCGCAAGCGCGCACGCGCCGACCUUGAUCUCGUAGCCGGCGCCAGCAGCCGCGCUUUGGGGCGUCGGCUCACGUGGGGCCGGCAACGCGUCUUCCAGGAUGUUCGCGCGCUAGUCGCCGCUGAGGGGCCGGCGAUGCGCGAGGAGUUCCGGCGAGGAAGGUCGGUCAGUGGACAUGGCCGAGGCCCGCGGUGUCCGCGUGUGGGAGCUGCAGGGCUGAGGAGAGGCCGCCCGCAACCCUCGGGAAUCGUGUGAGGUGCCACUGGGGUCGCUUCACAUCAGGAGGCCCCGUCUCGGGGGACGCGCGCAGUCCCUUUAUAGGCACAACUGCUUAAAGAAACCAGAUGGCCCCAGGAUGGUGCCAGAGCUUCCUGACCCCUUAUCAGAUACCAGAGGAAGAUAAGACUGCAGAGCGGAACAGGAUAGGCAACCCCUGAGACGAGGUCUCACUAUGUUGGCCAGGUUGGUCUCGAAUUCCUGGCCGCAAGCCGUUCUCCAGUCUGGGCCUCCCAAAGUGCUAGGAUUACAGGAACAGAAUUGCCAUUGGGCCCAGGGAGAGACUACACUUCUUGUCUGCUUUGUUGCUAGUGCGGCCUUGUGGCCAAGCACAGAACGUGUGCAGUGAUGAUGGUGCAACUUCUAGGUCGUCCCCAGCAUGGAAAAUGAGCCCUGGGCAUGGAAGAUGAGCCCUGGUCCUGCAGCGGUGCUCUUUCCUCUUCUCACAAGCUGGAAUGUGCAUGUGCUCCCACCCAGCUUUGACCAUGGGGCGAAAACAGUACUCUGCAGUCUGGCAGAGCAACAAGGUGGAAAGGGCCUGGGUCCUUGAGUGACGUCAUGAGCCCUCUCACUGUCCCGACUUUGGGACUGUUAUAUGAUAAGGACUUUCUGUGAGUCACUGUCUUUUAGAGUCUCUCUGUUUUAGCUGCCUGGACUUUAUCCUGAAUAAUAUGGCUGUUAUCAUGGGUAUAGUGUUACUAUGAGCCUCAUCUAAGUAAUUUCUACUCUGCCUUUGACCACUAAACUCAUGUUGGACAAGAGUCACUUAGCAUUAUUUUUUCCUCAAUGAAGAGGUUAAGAUGGAGGGAGCAGGAGAAAUUGAGGCCUGUGUUUUACCAGAAGGUGAAGGGCUGUCUUUGCCUUUCCUACAUUUAUGAAGGAUAAUUCUAGACAAAAACAUUAAGUUCAUAUCAAACCAUCUGCUUUGUGAAGCCAUGGGCUUUGCUAGAACUUUCUGUGACAUGACAUUUAUUAACCCGAGUCUACCUGGAAGUUAGAGCUGAGGAAGUUUUCCUAGAGUGGAAAAAGUCCAAUGCACUUGUAAAAGUCAGACCAAGCUCAGCUCAGAUUUCAGUUUUAUUAGAAGUAUGUCACCUUCCUGAGCCCUUAUUAUUUCCCCAUCUGUGAAAUGAGGACACCGUUCUCUCUUUCUAAGCAUUGCUGGGAAGACCACACACCACUGAGACAGAAGGUGGGGCUAGCGCAGUUCUGGGCAUUUUGUACACCCCCAACAAAUACUGAUUUAUUUCCUUCUUUUUCCUUGCUCAGAAAAAAUUGGAGAAGGCUUUAUUUUAAAAUUCUGCCUGAAUUACUUUAUUUUAUUUAUUUAUUUAUUUAUUUUUUGGAGACAGAGUGUUGCUGUGUCACCCAGGCUGGAGUGCAGUGGUGCGAUCUCAGCUCACUGCAACCUCCUCCUGCUGGGUUCAAGCGAUUCUCCUGCCUCAGCCUCCCGAGUAGCUGGGACUAUAGGUAUGUGCCACCACGCCCAGCUAAUUUUUGAAUUUUUAGUAGAGACGGGGUUUCACCAUGUUGGACAGGCUGGUCUCAAACUCCU